ACAUCUUUCUAAAGGAAAACCGAAGUACCAGAAAUCGUGAGUUGUGAGGAGGGUUAGAACGAAUUAAAGACACCUGUCUUUACUGAGUGUAUUUAUUUAAAUAGGAGUUUUAUAUAAAGACGAAUAAGAAACGUUUACUACAAAAAGGUGGUGGAAAAGAGGCAGUCAGUCAGACCCUUUUCUGUGACGUGAUACGCGCUUAGUACUAAAAGGCACAGUAGAAGUACAAAGCUGGUAUCCACCAAUUUGGUCCACAGAAGUCAGAUCUUCACUAAGUGCAUGCAUACGGCCAGACUUCUGAUAUUACAUUUCUGCUUAGAGAGGGGGUGCGGAAUACCCUAUGCCCUGCACAGCACAGGAGCCUUCCUGAUUCCCUCAGCUUUAGAUAAUAUUAUGGAAGACUUGGGGGGUCACUUUGUGCAGACUUAAUUGAGGAAAGACGGAUUCUUACAUGCGAUACGGCAGUUGUUAGCGGAUAAGAGAAGGAACUUUAGAAACACUCACUAUUGCUGGAUCUGCAGGCAGCAAUAAUCUGAUCAUCCAAGAGCCAAGCUGAGGUCUUUGAAGAACUCUCAGAGUUAUUCACUGCAUUCCCCACGUUGCUGACUGACAAGGAGUAGUAGGCCUCUGAGGCCUAGAACACAUGUAGCCUGGACUAGCAGUGGAAGAACAGAAAAAAAUCAGGCACAAUCCUUCACACCACAGAUUCUCUCUUCCUUGAGA